rnacentral:misc_RNA from 1 species
GGAUGAGGAGGAUGAAGAAGAGGAUGAAGACGACGAAGAUGAGGAUAGCGAAGAUGACGACGACGUCAACGAUAGCAGUGACGGGGAGGAUGACAUGGGAACUGAAUACCUUGUUCAGCCAGUAGGCCGAGCUGAAGACGAGGAAGAUGCAAGUGAUUUUGAGCCUGACGAUGAAGACUCUGAAGAUGAGGACAUUUUAGAUGAAGAGGACUUUGAAAGCGGCUCGGCUGAGAAGGUUGAAGCUUCAAUGAAGAGGAAGAGGUCUAGUGAUGAUG